AGCAGCAGCCGCGGUAAUACGUAGGGUACAAGCGUUAAUCGGAAUUACUGGGCGUAAAGCGUGCGCAGGCGGUUAUAUAAGUCAGAUGUGAAAUCCCCGGGCUCAACCUGGGAACUGCAUUUGAGACUGUAUGGCUAGAGUGUGUCAGAGGGGGGUAGAAUUCCACGUGUAGCAGUGAAAUGCAUAGAUAUGUGGAGGAAUACCGAUGGCGAAGGCAGCCCCCUGGGAUAACACUGACGCUCAUGCACGAAAGCGUGGGGAGCAAACAGGAUUAGAUACCCCGGUAGUCCCUGUCUCUUAUAC
rnacentral:rRNA from 1 species